rnacentral:rRNA from 1 species
AGACGCACUCCCUACGGGAGGCAGCAGUGGGGAAAUCUUAGACAAUGGGCGCAAGCCUGAUCUAGCCAUGCCGCGUGAGUGAUGAAGGUCUUAGGAUCGUAAAGCUCUUUCGCUAGGGAUGAUAAUGACAGUACCUAGUAAAGAAGCCCCGGCUAACUCCGUGCCAGCAGCCGCGGUAAUACGGAGGGGGCUAGCGUUGUUCGGAAUUACUGGGCGUAGAGCGUACGUAGGCGGAUCAGAAAGUAUGGGGUGAAAUCCCAGGGCUUAACCCUGGAACUGCCUCAUAAACUCCUGGUCUUGAGUUCGAGAGAGGUGAGUGGAAUUCCAAGUGUAGAGGUGAAAUUCGUAGAUAUUUGGAGGAACACCAGUGGCGAAGGCGGCUCACUGGCUCGAUACUGACGCUGAGGUACGAAAGUGUGGGGAGCAAACAGGAUUAGAUACCCUGGUAGUCCA